ensembl:lncRNA
UUUUAGCUGGGAGAAAGCUCCAGCGAGGGGUCUGUAAAAGCGAGGGUGGGGAUGUCUGGGCUACAGCCACUGGGCAGUUGCUCUGGCCCUUGUGGGUUUGUGCUCACCUCCCUCCACUUUUCCCUUGUCCUGGCCUCCCCGAUUGCCCCCGUGCGGUUCUCUUGCCCAGUGUGGGUAACGGCGAUUUCCCGGCUGCAUUGGCACGAGGGGCGGUGGCGCUGAGGGACGUCCUGGUCUCUGUGGGGCCUGGAAUCUCCGCAGAGGCCAGCCGAGGGCGAGGAGGCUUCUAGAGUGAUAUAAAAAGAACAAUUCACAGAGAAACGUUCGCUAUCUUCCUUCGGAGACAUUUCUGAAAUUAAAGGGUUGUGGGUGAAGGAAUCCAAAUCGAGGGAGACUCCUCAGGAAGCUAGCCGAAGAAUGUCCAGCUCUUUUGCCACGGUUUCUGGCCACUCCCGCCAGCCCGAGGGAGCCUGCAGGGAGAGAGUUUUGUGGUUUUAAUGCGGUAGGUUAAAGUCUGUUGGUCUCUGUGUGAUUUGAUCCUGUUACUUGUGUUUUAUUGGCAUGGGAUGUGCAGAUUUUGGUGGAAAAAAAUUGCAUAUCUGAUAUGGGUACAUUUCAAACUUUCCUGGAUUUAAGUGUGGUUGGGAAGAGAUUUUUUAGCAUGUUUUUUCAGGCUUGUACACAAAAAUUCAUUUGGUGUGUGUGUGGGGGUGGGGGGAGAUUAGAAAAAAAAAUACGAAAGGAAGCCUAACCGAAGAAUGCAAUGGUGUGGUCUGGGAAAAGCCUCCUGGAGGCUGAGUUCAGAGCUGAGUCCUGCUUUCACCGCCCAAUUUUGUUCCCUAGCUUCUUGGGGGUGGGGGAGGGGGGAGAUCUUCUGGGUAGCAGACAGAUUCCUAAAGUGGCUGGUAGGCUUCAGGCCGGCUGGUGGGGGCUAAGAAAUGGGACGGAAGGUCCCCAGAGAAGCUCUCAGUAACAGAGAGAUAAGUGACUUUGGGCAUGAAGGACAAGAGACGGUUUUUUUGCUUUUUUUCCUGUUUGGUUUUCAUGAAUGAUCGUCUUCUUGCUUCUUAAGAGCCUGUGCAGGAGGAGGCUCAGGAUCAGGUUUCUGGUAGUCUGGGACUUGAGGGUCCUGGGCGAGUGUGUGGGUACAUUGGCCUCCUGAGCUAUUAGGAAAGGGAAACGUAGCCACUUGUGGCACAAGACUGGGGCUCCCUGGGGGCCCAGAUAAAAAGCUCUAGACAGGGGCCUGAACCGGCCUCGCUGAGACACCUUGGUUUCUUAGCAAGCGAAAUUGAUCACCAACAUCUAGGACGCUUGGACCCCUAUUUGCGGGGGGGUACCCCAAACCCACUCAAACUAAAGGUCUUCUCCCCUUGUAGUCUUGGUGGGUUAUAAAUCGCCCCUUAGACAGUUUCCUCUGACCCAAAUUAUGCAGUUUGCUGCCAUCUACCGUCCGUUCGGGGACAGGCGGCUUUGGCACAGCAAGUGGCUGACACUCGCCGAGCCCUGCCGGUUUGCUUAGAGCCCUUGGCGCGAGGUUCGGUGGGAUUCUGGCCCACGCUGGUGCCCUCUACUGCAUUUUAGUCCCCGAGUGUAGAUUAGAAAGCGGAAUGAAUCUCUUGUCACCUUAUCCUCAAUCUUCUCCCAUCUCCUGCAGAUCCCCACUCACCCCAGUCACAAACCUGAAGGCUGGUAGAGGAAGAGGGAGUCGAGAGGAGUAACACUGUAACCCACGGACAGAGGGUACUGAGCCAAAGGGUUGAGGGCUCAGACCCACGACCCUCAUCACCACCUAAGACACGAGACACGAUUGGGGGCUGCUAGAGAGAUGUGAGGCCAAAUCUGUUCAAGGUUUAUUUAGUUUUCUUCUCAGCCAAGGGAGGUAGGGGGUACGGUCAAGGGAGGCGCCGACCAGGCAGUUCCACUCGGUUGUCAAAAGACAAACCCGGUCUGUAUUCUUCCAGUUGGUUUGUGGUUUUUGCCAAUUCCUAAGCUGGCGAGUCCUUAUUGAAGGAGUUGAACUGAAUUUUCUGGAAACUGUUGGUGUCUGCAAGUGAGUGUUGGUCCCCUCCCCCAUUCUCGACCGUU